CCUGCUGCUCAGCUCAGAACACAACUCUAACAGCUGAGUUAAAUAAAGAACUGACAGAAGAGAAAAACAAACAGACACGGGAACACAUUCAGACAAAAAGCACAGAAAGGUUUUUAAUGAUAUACGUCAUAUCAUAAUGGCAGGGCACAAUUUUAUUUACUCUGUACAAGAUUCGACUUUUGAAGGCAGCACGAGCAGGACCAGAAGCUGCUGGGAAGAGGCCGGCCCACAGGGGGGGACAGGACAGGACAGGACAGGACAGGACAGGACAGGCUGCAGCUUAGUGGAAAAAAAUGCCAGACAACCAGGACGUUGCUUUGCCUUUCAUCAAACAAUCCCAAGUCAAACUCCACUGACUUUCUGCAAAGCUUUCAGCCAUGUCACGCAGCCUUCACCUGUGGGUGGAGUUUUUUCACAGGACGUCGACCUGUUGACGUCAAAGCUCUGCAGGUGAUUCUUAGCAUUUCAUGUGCGUGUGUUGAGGUUGGCCGUGAAACACCCGUACUCUUUCAGCGCUAUCACGCUCGCUUUUAUUGUCAGCCAAUGCAGAUUAGCAGCUCUGUGGACGAGGCCUAACUGCUGCUGAGCUGCCAUGUCAGAAAACAAGCAAGAGGACCGAUAUGUAUACUAGUUGAGACUAGUUUGAGUGAUGGACAUAAUGUGGGAAACAGUUUGUAAGAAACAAGGUUUGAGGGUGGAGAAAGUGAAUCAGGGAAUCAUCACAGAAGGCUGUUUGUUGGGAGAAUUUUGUGUGAUUGUGAUGAGAUGUAGACUUUAAGACAGGCUGAUGCAGAACCAGUGAAGGUCCUGUACAGGGGAGAUGGUGAGGAGGAGGAGGAGGAGGCGGACGAAGAGGAGGAGGUCUCCUCGGGGUUCUCUGGAUCUUCGUCCUCCGGGAGAUCCUGUACAAAGGACACUGGUUGCAUCAUCUGAAUCUGAAUCGAGUGAUGAGGCCUCUUUGUGACUUUGAGCUAAGUGAAUAAAACUGAACUUGAGUUGAAUCUGCAGUGUUUCAGUUCAGGUGUGCUGAAGUCCCUCUGUGGCGCCUCUCAGCAGCAAGACAGUUCAGAGUGCUUUACACCAGACACAAAGAGACAUUCAGACAAGGCAGUAUGGGAAGACACCGAGAGAAACGUUAAACAGGAGGAUAAAAGCCGUCAGAAACGUCUGAAUUCGUGAUUUAAAAGAGCAGAAGUUUUCUGGGAGUUUGUGGCCAGUAGUGAACAAAAACUGAACACUGCUUGUUCAGGUUUAGUUUGGACCCUGGAGUCAGUAGUAAUGGAAAAAGUAAUCACAAAACAAAGCAAACCUGUCCCUGAUGAGGACCUGAGAGGAGUUGCUUUCCAGGCUGAGGUGAUCGCUGACCCGAGCGUCAUCGCAGAUCCCUGAAGGAGACCGGAUCAGAUCUCCGUAACGCCGAUCACCUGGGCCACAGAGCCAACAGGACUGGAUUUAAGUUCACAUUGUUUCAUAUGUGUGAAAUAAGGGUGUCAUGAAUGGCACAGACGAGACUCUCUAACAGUGAAUAACUGAGCGUUUUGUUUGAUUCAGCUUUAGCUGCUGAGUUUGGACAUAAUCUCACCGCUACAAAACGUCCGUCUAACUGGACACGUUGUGCUUCUGAAUGUUUGUGCCAAAGUCUUCCUCACAAGUAAUCGAUCCAGGAAUUACAAAUAUGAUGGAUAACAUAAGACACACGUCUGCUUUGAAGAGGGGGCUUGUGUCAAAUCCACUUUCUAUACUUUUUCACUUGACAUCAGGCUUGUGUGUUCCAGUUUCUCACAUGUGGACAAAGUACCACAGUGUAGAAAUACUCUGUUACAAGUGAACGUCUUUACAUUUUAAAGAAAAAGGACAAAAAAAUAGAGUUCAAGUACCAAAGCUAAAAGUACUCGUGCAGAAGCCUAAUUCAGAAUAAAGUAUAUUAAAUAAUAUUAUCAAGAAUAAUCAUAAAGUAUAAUAUAUACUGGACUAUAAUUAUUGAUGCAUUCAUGUGUCUGCUGGUUUAAAUACUUUAUGUACCUUAUCCACCUGUGAAUUUCUCUCCUGGGAUCAAUAAAGUUUUAUC